AUGGCUCAGAUUGAACGCUGGCGGCAGGCCUAACACAUGCAAGUCGAGCGGCAGCACGGGUACUUGUACCUGGUGGCGAGCGGCGGACGGGUGAGUAAUGCCUAGGAAUCUGCCUGGUAGUGGGGGAUAACGUUCGGAAACGAACGCUAAUACCGCAUACGUCCUACGGGAGAAAGCAGGGGACCUUCGGGCCUUGCGCUAUCAGAUGAGCCUAGGUCGGAUUAGCUAGUUGGUGAGGUAAUGGCUCACCAAGGCGACGAUCCGUAACUGGUCUGAGAGGAUGAUCAGUCACACUGGAACUGAGACACGGUCCAGACUCCUACGGGAGGCAGCAGUGGGGAAUAUUGGACAAUGGGCGAAAGCCUGAUCCAGCCAUGCCGCGUGUGUGAAGAAGGUCUUCGGAUUGUAAAGCACUUUAAGUUGGGAGGAAGGGCAGUUACCUAAUACGUAAUUGUUUUGACGUUACCGACAGAAUAAGCACCGGCUAACUCUGUGCCAGCAGCCGCGGUAAUACAGAGGGUGCAAGCGUUAAUCGGAAUUACUGGGCGUAAAGCGCGCGUAGGUGGUUCGUUAAGUUGGAUGUGAAAUCCCCGGGCUCAACCUGGGAACUGCAUUCAAAACUGUCGAGCUAGAGUAUGGUAGAGGGUGGUGGAAUUUCCUGUGUAGCGGUGAAAUGCGUAGAUAUAGGAAGGAACACCAGUGGCGAAGGCGACCACCUGGACUGAUACUGA
rnacentral:rRNA from 1 species